rnacentral:rRNA from 1 species
AGUGAACGCUGGCGGUAGGCCUAACACAUGCAAGUCGAACGGCAGCACAGUAAGAGCUUGCUCUUACGGGUGGCGAGUGGCGGACGGGUGAGGAAUACAUCGGAAUCUACUUUUUCGUGGGGGAUAACGUAGGGAAACUUACGCUAAUACCGCAUACGACCUACGGGUGAAAGCAGGGGAUCUUCGGACCUUGCGCGAUUGAAUGAGCCGAUGUCGGAUUGGCUAGUUGGCGGGGUAAAGGCCCACCAAGGCGACGAUCCGUAGCUGGUCUGAGAGGAUGGUCAGCCACACUGGAACUGAGACACGGUCCAGACUCCUACGGGAGGCAGCAGUGGGGAAUAUUGGACAAUGGGCGCAAGCCUGAUCCAGCCAUACCGCGUGGGUGAAGAAGGCCUUCGGGUUGUAAAGCCCUUUUGUUGGGAGAGAAAAGCAGCAGGUUAAUACCCCGCUGUUCUGACGGUACCCAAAGAAUAAGCACCGGCUAACUUCGUG